UCUGCUGUGGCUCAGUGUAGUGCAUCCUCUCAAUCUCAUCGUCUCCUAAUAACCGGUUUUCGAGGAAGGCGUGGGUUCGAAUCCCACCAGCGGCG